rnacentral:rRNA from 1 species
AGGACGACGCUGGCGGCGUGCCUAACACAUGCAAGUCGAGCGAGGAGAUUCCUUCGGGAUGAUCCUAGCGGCGGACGGGUGAGUAACACGUGGGCAACCUGCCUCAUAGAGAGGAAUAGCCUUCCGAAAGGGAGAUUAAUACCUCAUAACAUUGCAGUUUCGCAUGGAACAGCAAUUAAAGGAGCAAUCCGCUAUGAGAUGGGCCCGCGGCGCAUUAGCUAGUUGGUGAGGUAACGGCUCACCAAGGCGACGAUGCGUAGCCGACCUGAGAGGGUGAUCGGCCACAUUGGGACUGAGACACGGCCCAGACUCCUACGGGAGGCAGCAGUGGGGAAUAUUGCACAAUGGGGGAAACCCUGAUGCCGGCAACGCCGCGUGAGUGAUGACGGCCUUCGGGUUGUAAAGCUCUGUCUUCAGGGACGAUAAUGACGGUACCUGAGGAGGAAGCCACGGCUAACUACGUGCCAGCAGCCGC